UACGGAGGAUGCGAGCGUUAUCCGGAUUUAUUGGGUUUAAAGGGUGCGCAGGCGGCACGGCAAGCCGGCGGUCAAAUCGCGGGGCUCAACCCCGCCCAGCCGUCGGAACUGCCGGGCUAGAGUGGGCGAGAAGUGCGCGGAAUGCGUGGUGUAGCGGUGUAAUGCAUAGAUAUCACGCAGAACUCCGAUUGCGAAGGCAGCGCACCGGCGCCCUACUGACGCUCAGGCACGAAAGCGUGGGUAUCGAACAGG
rnacentral:rRNA from 1 species